rnacentral:rRNA from 1 species
UACGAGGGAUGCAAGCGUUAUCCGGACUUAUUGGGCGUAAAGCGUCCGCAGGUGGCUCUGUAAGUCUGUCGUUAAAGAAUGGGGCUCAACCCCGUACAGGCGAUGGAAACUACAAGGCUAGAGUUUGGUAGGGGUCACGGGAAUUCCUAGUGUAGCGGUGAAAUGCGUAGAUAUUAGGAAGAACACCAGCGGCGAAAGCGCGUGACUGGGCCAGUACUGACACUCAUGGACGAAAGCUAGGGGAGCGAAAGGG